GGGAAAAAAAUCCCAAAAAAUUAGAAGACAUCAAUAAAUUCCUUAAAAGAAAGCCAAGAAAACUAAGAAAAAGUAAUUAAACAGGUGAAGGAAACAGUUCAAGACUUGAAAACUGAAACAGAGGCAUUAAGAAGACACAAACUGAGGGAAUGCUGGAAAUGGAAAAUCUGAGUAAAUGAAUAGGAACUACAGAUGAUUAUAAGCAUAAACAACAGAAUACAAGAGAUGGAAGAGAGAAUCUCUGGCAUUGAAAAUACAGUAGAGGAAACAGAUUCAUCAGACAAAGAAAGCAUUAAAGCCAACAAAGUCAUAACACAACAUGUCCAGGAAAUCUGGGACACCAUAAAAAGACCAAACCUUAGAAAAAUAGGGAUAGAAGAACAAAAAGAAUACCAGCUAAAUGGCAUAUAGAAUAUAUUCAACAAAAUCACAGAAGAAAACUUUUUCAACAUAAUGAAAGAAAUGCCUAUGAAGAUGCAAGAAGCUUAGAGAACAUCAAAUAAACUGGGCCCUCCAAAAACGUCCCCUUACCACAUAAUAAUCAAACCACCAAACAUACAGAAUAAAAAAAAAUAUUAAGAACUGCAAGGAAAAGGUCAAGAAACAUAUAAAGGCAGACAUGUCAGAAUAACACCUGACUUCUCAAUGGAGACUCUGAAAGCCAGAAGGUCCUGGACAGACAUUAUGCAGACACUAAGAGACCAUGGAUGCCAACCUAGACUAUUAUACCUAGCAAAACUCUCAAUUACCAUAGAUGGAGUAACAAAAUAUUUCAUGAUAAAACCAGAUUUAAACAAUACGUAUCCACAAAUGCAGCCCUACAGAAAGCCCUAGAAGGAAAAAUCCAACCCAAGGAAGUUAGAUACACCCACGAAACACAGGCAAUAGACAAUUGCACACAAACAAAUACCAAAGAAGGGAAACACACAACACUACCACCAAAAACAACAAGAAUUAACAAUCACUGGUUAUUAAUAUCUUCUAAUAUCAAUGGAUUCAACUUGCCUAUAAAAAGACACAGGCUGACAUAAUGGAUAUGAAAACAGGAUCCAUCCUGCUGCUGCAUACAAAAAGCACACAACUUCAAAGACAGACACUACCUCAGAGUAAAAGGCUGGGAAAAGACUUUUCCAAUCAAUGGACUUUAGAAGCAAGCUGGUGUAGCUAUCCUAAUAUCUAACAAAAUAGACUUCAAACUAAAAUUACUCAAAAGAGAUCAAGAAGGACAUUACGUAAUUAUCACAGGAAAAAUCCAACAAGAAGAAGUCUCAGUUCUGAACAUUUGUACCCAAAAUACAAGGGCACCCACAUUUGUAAAAAGAAACAUUAUUAAAGCUUAAAUUGCACAUCAAACUCCAUACAAUAGUAGUGGGAAAUUUCAACAUCUCAGUCUCACCAGUGGACAGGUCUGCCAGACUAAAACUUAACAGAGGAAUAAGAGAACUAACAGACAUUAUGACUCAAUGGAGUUAUAGAUAUCUGCAGAAUAUUCCACCCUAACAAAAAGGAAUAUACCUUCUUCUACCCUAUGGAACCUUCUCUAAAAUCGACCACAUACUCGGUCACAAAGUGAAUCUUAACAGAUACAAAACAAUUGGAAUAACUUCCUCUAUUUUAUCAGACCACCAUGGCUUAAAGUUAGACUUCAAUAACAACAAAAAUUACAGAAAGCCUACAAUCUGUACAAUGGAAAAAAGAAAACAUCUUCAACAAAUGGUGCUGGCAUAACUGGAUAUCAACAUGUAGAAGAUUGCAAAUAGACCCAUAUCUAUCACCAUGCACAAAACUCAAGUCCAAGUGGAUCAAAGACCUCAAUGUAAAACCAGUUAUACUGAACCUGAUAGAAGAGAAAGUAGUAAAUAAUCUUAAACACGUUGGCACAGGAGAUCACUUCCUAAAUACACUACCAGUAGCACAGACACGGAGAACAACAAUUAGUAAAUGGGACCUCCUAAACCUGAGAUGCUUCUGUAAGACAAAGGACACAAUAAAUAAGACAAAAUGACAGCCUAUAAAAUUGGAAAAGAUUUUCACCAACCCCACAUCUGACAGAGGGUUGAUCUCCAAAAUAUAUAAAGAACUUAAGAAACUAGACAUUAAAAUAACAAACAAUCCAAUUAAAAAAUGGGUUAUAGAGCUAAAUAGAGAAUUGUCAAAGUAAGAAUUUCAAAUGUCCAAAAGGCAUUUAAGGAAUUUCUCAGCAUCCUCAAUCAUCAUGGAGAUACAAAUCAAACUGACUCUGAGUUACCAUCUUACACCUGUCAGAGUGGCUAAGAGCAAAAGCACUGCGGACAGUUUAUGUUGGAGAGGAUAUGGAGCAGGGGGAACACUCCUCCACUGGUGGUGGGAAUGCAAACUUGUACAACCAUUAUAGAGAUCAGUAUGGCAGUUUCUCAGAACAUGGGGAAUCAAUCUACCUCAAGACCCAGCUAUACCACUCUUGGGCAUAUACCCAAGGAAUACUCAAUCAUACCACAAGGACACAUGCUCAACUAUGUUUAUAGCAGCAUUAUUCGUAAUAGUCAGAACCUGGAAACAACCUAGAUGCCCCUCAACUGAAGAAUGGAUUAAGAAAACAUGGUACAUAUACACAAUGGAAUACAUAUCAUCCUGAGUGAGGUAACCCAGAUUCAGAAGGACAAACAUGGUAUGUACUCACUCAUAAAUGGAUACUAGAUGUAAAGCAAAGGGUAAUCAGGCAACAACCCAGAACUCCAGAGAAGCUAACUAACGGAGAAGACCCAAAGAGGGACACAUGGACCACUUUGGGAAGGAGUAAUAGGUAUCCACGAGUAAACUGAGGAUGAGGGGUGGGCAAUGAAGGAUAGGGGAUAGGGAAUGAGAACAUAAGGGAAUGGGAUGGUUAGGCUGAAAAAGGGAGGUAGGGGGAAUGCAAUGAAAGAGAUACCAUGAGAGAGAGAGAGAGAGAGACAUCAUGGGGAUAGAGAGAAACCUGGUGCUAGGGAAGUUGCCAGGAAUCCCCAAGGAUGACCCCAGCCUGGGCUACUAGCAAAAGUGGAGAGAGUGCCUGAACUGAACUGGCUUACCUCAGAGAUCAGACCAGUGAAUACCCUCAUGGUCAUCACAUAACUUUUCUCCAAUGACUGAUGGAAGCAGAUGCAGAGAUCCACAACUAAUCACUUGACAGAGUCUAGGAGUCCAAUCAAAGAGAGAGAAGAGGGAUUCUAUAAGCAAGUGCAUCAGGAUCAUGAUGGGGAAACAUGCAGGGACGACCAAACCAAACUAGAGGGAAUUCAUGAAAGUUGGAUCAAUGGCUGUGGAGCCUACAUGGGAUUAGACUAGGCCCUUUGCCUGGCGAGACAGUUGUGUAGCUUGAUCUGCUUGGGGGCCCCCUGGUGGUAGGAUUAGAAUCCAUCUGGUGCACCAGUGGGCUUUGUGGAGCCCACUACCUAUGAUGGGACACCUCUUGCAGUCUUGAGGCAAGUGGAAAGGCUUGGAUGUAGAUGAACAGUCUUAUUAAAUAAGAAACACAGAGAGCCAAAGGCAGAGUUAAAAGCCCAAGAGGUCAGAGCAGUAGCUGAGAGCUGAGACUUAAAACUGCCUUCUUACCCUUCUUGCCACUGCUGUCUUCCCCUCAGCAAGAGACCUACUUCCUAUGUAUCUGUCUUUUUAUUGACUUUCUGUUCUGCUUUCUCAUUGGUUGUAAACACAACCACAUGACCUCCUCAUCACUGCCUGUCUAUACAGACCUCCAGGUCUUCUAUGGUUGGUAUUGAGAUUAAAGGUGUGUGUCUCCAUGCUGGCUCUAUCCUUGAACACACAGAAUGUUCAUGUGAUUUGGAUUAAAGGUGUGCGCCACCUCUGCCUGGUUUCUGCUACGGCUUGCUAUUAGCUCUGACCCCCAGGCAACUUUAUUUAUUAACAUACAAAUAAAAUCACAUUUCAGUACAAAUAAAAUAUCACCAUACUUGGACUUGCCUCUACUUGACGUGCCUCCUCAUGGGAUGCCUUGCCUUUGUGUGGGACCAAUUUACUUCAGAGAAGAGGAUGGGUAUUGAAGACAUUCCAUGUGGAGUUUAUCUUCUUCUUGGCAAAAGUAGCCAUUUGGUCAAGAAAGUGUUCUUGCCUGGACUGCUUGACAAAAUGUUGUAUCGACUGGACAUGCAGGACCCAUAGGAAGGUGACCACUGAACUUUGCAAGGCGAGAUGGUCCUUCAGGUUCCUGCUUCUCAGAGGAGACUGCCAGAUAUUCUACAGGACACAGGGAAAAGUGAAUGAGAGACUAGCCUAUGGGCUGAAGAAUGGAUGCCCCAACACUGCAGAGGAACUUUGAUGACUGUCCAGGCAGGCAGCUGUCUCUGUCUUUUCCAGAGUUUUGGAAGUUUCUUACAAUGUUCUUCCUGUUUUCUUAGGUACUAUUAUAUCCUUCUGAGAUUUUUGAUGUAUUUGAAACCUA